ensembl:lncRNA
UGAUAACUGAACUAUUAUUUAUUUAUUUUUUUAUCUUUCAGAUUGACAUGUUCUGCCCGUUUUGUGUGGUGCAACUGGGGGGCGCUCCCAAGUUUUGCCCGUCAUGUGGGCAGAAUGUGGAGUUCCUUACACAGCUUCCAUCAACUCCAUCCACCUUGUCAAGCGAAGGCUAUGGGCCUACAGUGAAGGAGACUAGGAAGGAAGGAAGAGCAGCUCAAUUCUUGAGGUUCAGGGAGGUUAAAGAGGCUGAGAGGAGGACCUCCUUUUCAAAGCUUAAAAAGAAACAGGCCAUUACAGUGAAGAUUUCGAUUGGCAUCAUGUCAAGGACCAAGAAUGGGACCUCUUAAGACCCAAUCGCCCACCGGUGGGCGAUUGGGUUUGUUGACAAUAUGUUUCCACUACGGAGCGACAUAACCCGCUUCAACUUUCAUCAUUACAGACAUUCUAU